rnacentral:lncRNA from 1 species
GGCCAUUGUGGAAACUGUCAUCAGCGAGUUGCUCUAUUGCCACUUUAGCCUUGUCAUGCUUAAGUCUUAGAAGACCAAAACUUCUGCCGAGUGGAGACAUACAUGAAUAAUGGCGUGUUCGACGGUGCCACAGGACAUCACCGGCGAUCUGAGAGGGCACUGCAAGGAGUGCGAAUGCAGUGGUUUUCAGCGCCUUGUUGAUCUGGCCAUGACAAGGUACCUAUUGGCUGGUGCAUUCUCAGUGGACACUCGCCUGCCUCAUAUGGACCUCUCGUCAGCCUCUAUGAGGGUGCCCAAGACGGAUAUCUGGAGGAAGCUGAAUCUUGCAGUGCACCACAACAGUCUUUUGCUAGGCAAAUAUGUGGCCAGUGGUCAACAGACACCACCACUUACCUAGAAAGAGGGCCUGCGCAAUCUGUCGAAGAUUAUUCUUUGACAGUGCACGAGACAAUGAAGUUCGGCACCCAGGAAGUGCUUCCGCCCCUGUACUGAUGCAAGGGGCCGAAGAAAGUUUUC